GCAUAUCAAUAAGCGGAGGAAAAGAAACCAACAGGGAUGCCUCAGUAACGGCGAGUGAAGCGGCAACAGCUCAAAUUUGAAAUCUGGCGGCCUCUGGGCCGUCCGAGUUGUAAUUUGAAGAGGAUGCUUUUGGCGAGGCGCCUUCCGAGUGCCCUGGAACGGGACGCCACAGAGGGUGAGAGCCCCGUAUGGUUGGACGCCGAGCCUCUGUAAAGCUCCUUCGACGAGUCGAGUAGUUUGGGAAUGCUGCUCAAAAUGGGAGGUAAACCCCUUCUAAAGCUAAAUACUGGCCAGAGACCGAUAGCGCACAAGUAGAGUGAUCGAAAGAUGAAAAGCACUUUGAAAAGAGAGUUAAAUAGCACGUGAAAUUGUUGAAAGGGAAGCGCUUGCGACCAGACUUGUGCCCGUCGAAUCAGCCGCCGCUCGCCGGCGGCGCACUUCGGCGGGCUCAGGCCAGCAUCAGUUCGCUGCAGGGGGAGAAAGGCGGCGGGAAUGUGGCUCUUCGGAGUGUUAUAGCCCGCCGCGCAAUACCCCUCGGCGGACUGAGGACCGCGCAUCUGCAAGGAUGCUGGCGUAAUGGUCGUCAGCGACCCGUCUUGAAACACGGACCAAGGAGUCGUCCUAAUAUGCGAGUGUUCGGGUGUAAAACCCCUGCGCGUAAUGAAAGUGAACGGAGGUGAGAGCUUCGGCGCAUCAUCGACCGAUCCUGAUGUUCUCGGAUGGAUUUGAGUAAGAGCAUAUUGGGCCGGACCCGAAAGAAGGUGAACUAUGCCUGUAUAGGGUAAAGCCAGAGGAAACUCUGGUGGAGGCUCGCAGCGGUUCUGACGUGCAAAUCGAUCGUCAAAUAUGGGCAUGGGGGGCGAAAGACUAAUCGAACCUUCUAGUAGCUGGUUUCCGCCGAA
rnacentral:rRNA from 1 species